AAUUUCAAGGUAAAUGGACAAAGGUUGAGGCAUUAUUUAGCUGGUGAGCCAAUUGAGAAAAUAGCAACUUGCUAUCUUUCUCAUUCUCCAUGAAAUUUUGAGUAAGUAUGGUCAAGCUAAAGACCUAAACUUAGCAUUUUUGUGCAUAACUCCCAAUUUUUCUUUCAUUUGUUUUAAGUUUUUUUUUUAUAUACUCCUUAUUCAGAGUUUAACAUUGUUCUAAUUUCCUUGUGCAGAUGGGAUACAAUGCAUUGCAAGCAAAUGAGCAUAUAAAAAAAAAAAAAAAAAAAAAAAAAAAAAAAACAUUUCAUGUCUUUAAUUUCAUUGCUUAAUUACUUCAUAUUUUGAACUUAUUUUGCUUGUGUUGUUUUUAUUUUACUUGAACCAUUUACUUAUUCAGUUUUUUUUAGUUCCUCAUAAAAUACAUUUUUCUUUUAUAUUUUUAGUACAUUGCUCACUUGCUUUUAUGUGCUACUUCGGAUUUACACUUGAUGGCUAUAUUUUUGAGCUUAACUUCCCUAUUCCAAAUUUUUGAGAUUAAUCGAUUUAAUUAAUGGAUUCCAUUGCACUGUUUCUUUUGCAAUGAGUGCAGCAGCUGUCCAAAUUUUAUCUAAUUAAAUUGGCUGCACUUCAAUGAGGUAACAAUUCUCAUCUCAGCUUGUGUCACUGUCAACACAAGUUGUGCUAUCGCUUAUGCAACAGGGUAAUAAUUCUUUAUGCACAUAUGAUCUACCCAUUUUCUGCACAUUAUCCCAUUCCAUGCACUCUUCUAACAUUGAGGACAAUGUUCAUUCUGAGUAUGGGGGAGAGGGUAAAUUUUUUGCAAAAAUUAUUUUUCCUUUUUCAUUUGCAUAUAGUGACACAUUCAUUACUACGUAUAUACACUUGCAUAUAGCCUCAUAUACUUAGUUACGCAUACUUAGUUGCAAUUAGGUUGACUAUACAUUUACACUCAUGCAUAUCAUUCACUCAUUUAAAAUUUUUGAAUUUUUAAACCAGUCUUUGAAUUCCAUAAGCCACUUAUUCAAGCAAUCCAGCUUGCCUUUAGAUGGUUAGUGGAAUGAAAGUUCCAGCUGGGUACAAAGUCUUAAGCAUUAUUCUUUCUCUUACUUAAUAGCUGAAAAUUAAUAUAUCAAUUUAGGUAUGCAGUGCUAGUUAGUUAUUUUGAGUUUUGAGUGUCUGGAUAAGCCUUUAAGGAAGAAAAUGGUCAUUGUCGUCUCACCAUUCCUAGAACAAGCAUCUUAGAUCUUUCAAAGCGAAAUUUUUAACUUGCAUUUGAUAAGAAUAUGAUUUAGGCAUUCCUUCAUAUUUUAAACCUCACAUUUAGCCUUAACCUACCUCAAUUUCAUUUUAACCCUUGCAAACCCCCUUGAACCUUAAUCUCCUAAUUUCUUUGGAACCCAAAUCAUUUACCUAGCCAUUAAACCUAAACACUACCACCUAUCUAUGAGAAUAGUAUUUUAGCAAUUAAGUGCAUAAAAAAAUGAUAAUGAUAUAAAAAAAAAAAUAAAUAAUAAUAAUAAUAAUAAUAAAAUAAUAAUAAAAAAAAAAAAAAAUCUCGGAGGAUUGAAACAUCUUGAAAAGUGCUAGAGUAAUUGUCAAAAGUUGAAAAGGUCACCAAAAUAUCCCAAAGGUAAUUUUGGGUGUGACAUGAAAUAGGGACACAUACAAAAUCAAAAUAAAAUAAAAUAAAAUAAGCAUAAAAAAAAUAGUCCCUUUGUAUAAUCAUUGUGAUAGCACUUGAGAUUCAUUGUGAAUUUCUUUCCUCUUGAUAUAAAAAAAAAAAAAAUAUAUAUAUAUAUUGGAUGCACUUUGAGUUUCAUGAUUAAUAUUAUUCUCAUAUUUUGUUUACCUUAUUCCCUUUCUUUGUUAACCACAAUUUUACCCUAUUAGACCCCAUUACAACCCUUAAAAAGACCUAAUGAUUCUUUGAAAAAUGCUUGUUACAUUAGUAGAGUUAGAUCUUUUAUGCUUGCAUAUGGGUUUGGCAAUAUAAUCUUCCAUACAUUACUCACCAUCUAUUUGAGACACAUUGGCUAUCUAUUUCAUUUAGGUUUGUUUUGGCACAAUUGACUCUUGUAGUUGGUUGGUAUUUGUUGCUUGGGUUGAUUGGUUAAUUCUUAGCUAUUCUGUAAUAGUUGAGAGUGCUUGCUUCAUUCUUUGUGCUUUUGCUGGUGGGAAUUUGGAAUGUUGGUGGCUAGAGGUAAGUUGGUGGUUUGGAUUAGUGAAUUUUGUGUUUUCAAAGACUGAUUCUAUUCCCUUCCAAAUGAGUUUUAAUGAAAUUUUGCUUGAGGACAAGCAAGAGUUUGAGUAUGGGGGAAUUUGAUGCAUGCAUUUUAUAUCAUCAUUUAGGAGUUAAAUCUGGAGAAAUUUGAUGUAUUUUGAUCAGAGUAGCCAUUUGGAGGAGAUUAAAAUCGAAUUGCAAAAAAAAAUUUUGAAGUUGAGAAAAAAAAUGGCCGAGAGCGACACAACCCGCGACACAACUGACUCGGCUUAUGUCGUUUUUACUGGAAAAUUUUUUGACGUGGCAUUUCCGUUACUCCAGCCUUUUUACCUCACUUUUUCUAGAUCCUUCCCCCUUUUACCCAUUCUAGAACAA